GUUAUGUUCCCCUUAUCCCCUAUAUAGGCGAACAUGUGCCCUUAGUUAUAUUACUAUUGUACACAUAUGGUUGAUUGAUGAUUACUUUGGUCUUGUUGUUGAUCUAUGUAUGUUGUAUUUUGCAUGCAAAAAUUCUUUUGAUAUAAAUUGAAAGAAGAAAAUUAAAAGAGAAGGAGAGAGGAAACGUUUGUAAAUAGUUUUGCUUGAGAACUAUUUUUGCACUGAUUACAGUACAGUAAGGAGGUACUGUUUAAUGACUCUGUUUACAGUUAAAUUUCUUUUAAAAUCUUUAUAGAUUUCCUUGACAUUAAAAACGGCUAAAGUAAUAAUUAAUUGUCGUUUUAAAGAUAUCCGACGAUGAUAAUCAUCAUCUCCGAAGCAUAUUAAUAAUAAGGAAAAGCUAUUAUAAAAAAUAAACUAAGUGAAAUGUUACCACAACCGUGCCCGUAAAAUAGUGCAAAAAUCAUAUAAUCGAUUAUAAUUUAAGCUAAAAUUUUUAUAGCCUUUCCUUGAGAAUACACGCACAUGGAAAAUAUUUCAUCAAUUAGUGCACUUUUCACAAUUUAUUUUGCUGACUCUACAUAAUCCUAUGUUGCUUCACUUUAUUUUUCUUUUCUUGAUUAUGGUGAUUAGUGAGUGUGCUAAGAGAAUAAGUGUAAUUUUUAAAAUGUUCUUCACGCCAGCACUCUUUCCAUCUUUCUUAUCUAAUAUAAUUUGAUGUAAAAAGUUCGUGUCGAAUCAGUGAUGAGUUGAAGUUUUCGGUAUCACCACGAGAAGGGAGGCAUUCCUUAAACACACAAUAGAUUCUUAAUUGGAGUGUCCAUUAAUCAAGAACACAAUUUCUUAGAUUGGAUGUGGUAAGAUAAUUCAUUCCGUUUUGUCUGGGCAGCAUAUCUAAUUUCUGUGUGCCUAACUUUCACUGAGACGGGUUUGCACUACAGAGGCAAGUGUUGUCGGUCACUUUAUCAAGUACUUUUGUGAUUAUUGUGCCUAUAUAAGUGAUCAACUCAAUUAUUUAACCUUGCGUUCGAUUGUUAAGAAUCAUCUAAAAUAUAAGAAAAGUGUAUCGAAAUUUUGAUGAAAGAACGCUACGAUAUUUUUCUUUCUUUUAAGAUAAAUUUAAGAUUGACCUAUGCUCGGCUGGACGUUUUGAGCGAAAAUGUAUGUCAUUCAUUUAUUUGGUUGCGUGAGGACCAAAGUCACGUCCCAACACGAUAUAAUACUGCACUGUCGAAGGAAAGGGGGUUAGAAAAGAUGUGCCAGCUGACCUAUUUCCAAUGUGGUUAAAUUGCGGACUGGCGAAACCAAUCAGAAUAUUUCCUUCAUCUUGACUGAACCGCCGUAGACAUAAAGCAUCAUCGACCGUCCAUUCCAUCCAACAAAAGAUCGUUUCAGUUGAAUAUGAGUAUGAUUUCAGCCGCCAGAUUUUUAUUUAACUAUCUGAAGCCAUAUAUAUAUUUUGCUUAGUGAAGUAAGAUAGUUUAAUAUAAGGAAAAUGGAUUAAAACAUCAAAGCAUAUUGAAAUUCUAUUUGUUUAUAUUCGGUAGAGGAAUAUUAACAGCAGGUAAGGAUGCUAAGAAAAGCCGCUGGGACUAAUCGAGCAUUAUCUGAUGAAAAGAUAAAUUUUUCCGCUGAAGAAAAAUUUAAAGCUUCUUA